AUCCUUGUGUACUUCAUAAGCGUGAUGAUUGGGUAUUCUUGUGUAUGUGUGAGAUGUGCCACCCUCAAACUUUGUUAAAACAUUGGCACAUUACCCAUGUGACA
rnacentral:snoRNA from 1 species